GCUUGUCUCAAAGAUUAAGCCAUGCAUGUCUAAGUAUAAGCACCCUUAUACUGCGAAACUGCGUACAGCUCAUUAUAUCAGCAAUUAUUUAUUUGAAGGUCACCUAUUACAUGGAUAACCGUGGUAAUUCUAGAGCUAAUACAUGCGAAAAGUCGGCGCAAGUCGAUGUAUUUAUUAGAUGGAAACCAAUGCGGGGCAACCCGGUAUAUGGUGAUUCAUAAUAACUUUCGGAUCGAUCUUCGGAUCGAUGCAUCAUUCAAGUUUCUGCCCUAUCAGCUUUGGAUGGUAGGGUAUUGGCCUACCAUGGCUUUAACGGGUAACGGAGAAUUAGGGUUCGAUUCCGGAGAGGGAGCCUGAGAAAUGGCUACCACAUCCAAGGAAGGCAGCAGG
rnacentral:rRNA from 1 species